UGGCAAGUAGUUUAAAUAAAACAAAUGAUUUCGACUCAUUAGAUUAUGAUAAUCAUACUAGCCAA
rnacentral:tRNA from 1 species